rnacentral:sRNA from 1 species
UGUUAGCGACCAAGAAGCUCUUCUUCUUCCUGCGGCUCCAAAUCUCUCCCUGCUAAUCGCACACUAUCUUCUUGUUCCGUCGCCAUGGGAUUCUCAUUUCUGUACAAGGAAAGCCAGUUAGCAAAACGGCGCCGCUUAAAACUUUGAAGGAUCACAGUACAGAAGCUCGAGGACAAACCUCACAAGUGUGAUUAUUUGAACAAUCACAUCCCCAGAGAGCUUCUUCGCUACGAAAAGGAUCGAAUGGGGCCUAGAUGGAAAGGAAAAGGCGCAGAAGCUAAAGCACUUGCAGAUCCAAUGUCAAAGAUAGUAUUGAAGCUUCAGUCUUCUCUUAUCCAAUCAGAUGCCCGAGGAAUCUUAUGCGGGAGCAGCGUACUUCUUGCUGCAGAAGAAGAACAAGCCCUUCUCUUCGGCCGUGCCUACUUUGGCCACCCGAUUGUUAAUGCCGAUAAGGAUAGGCAGUGGUUUCAGUUGGGCAUGGAAGAGGCAUUUUUCCUGUGCUAUUCUUUAAAAUGCCUCAAGAUAGCGGGCGAAGACAAACGCCCGAAGGACGAUCAAGAGCUUUGGCAGUGCAUGAAGUCCAAAAAAGCGGGAUUUCCUGUAUUUUACAAGGCGUAUUCUCACCUUCGAACGAAAAACUGGGUUGUGAGACCCGGACUUCAAUAUGGUGCGGACUUUGUUGCUUACCGUCACCAUC